UGGGGAAUAUUGCACAAUGGAGGGAACUCUGAUGCAGCGACGCCGCGUGAGUGAUGAAGGACUUCGUUUCGUAAAACUCUGUUCUAUGGGAAGAAAACGACUGUACCAUAGGAGAAAGCUCCGGCUAAAUACGUGCCAGCAGCCGCGGUAAUACGUAUGGAGCGAGCGUUGUCCGGAAUUAUUGGGCGUAAAGGGUGCGCAGGCGGCUUUACAAGUUGGAUGUGAAAUAUUGUGGCUCAACCACAAACGUGCAUCCAAAACUGCAAAGCUUGAGUUAAGGAGAGGUAAGUGGAAUUCCUGGUGUAGCGGUGGAAUGCGUAGAUAUCAGGAGGAAUACCGGUGGCGAAGGCGACUUACUGGACUUAAACUGACGCUCAGGCACGAAAGCGUGGGGAGCAAACAGG
rnacentral:rRNA from 1 species